AUGCGGCGGGGCCGGGGCGCAGGGCUGGCGGGGCUGGCCGCGGUGCUCCUGGUGGCUGUGGGCAGAGCCCAGGUGCAGCAGGAGCCGUCGGCAGAGACCACCGAGGGCACUGGAAUCAGCAUCAACAGCUCACACACCAACAUCCAGUUUUACGACUACAUCCUCUGGUACCGUCAGCUCCCAGGCCAAAGCCCAAGAGUCCUUGUUGGCGGUCUUCAAGGGACCAAAGAGCUGCAGGACCCGCCGGGGCGGCUGUCGGUGGCGGCAGACCGCCGGUCCAGCGCCCUGUGGCUCGCCCGGCCCCGGCGCAGGGACGCGGCGGUGUAUUACUGCGCCCUUAGGCACACGGGGAGAGGAGCCGGGGCUGCGGCCGGGGUUCAGUCAUUGCUACACAAAGAGGAUGACUGUGAUGCCUGA